rnacentral:rRNA from 1 species
UACGUAGGGGGCAAGCGUUAUCCGGAUUUACUGGGCGUAAAGCGCGUGUAGGCGGUUGCGUAAGUUGGUUGUGAAAUCCCUCGGCUCAACCGAGGAACUGCAGCCAAUACUGCGCGGCUUGAGUGGCAGAGAGGAAAGUGGAAUUCCCGGUGUAGUAGUGAAAUGCGUAGAUAUCGGGAGGAACACCAGUGGCGAAGGCGGCAUCCUGGACCAUAACUGACGCUGAGGCGCGAAAGCUAGGGGAGCGAACGGG